CGCGUAGGCGGCCACUGCAAGUCGGUUGUGAAAUCUCCGGGCUUAACCCGGAAAGGUCAAUCGAUACUGCAGGGCUAGAGUGCAGAAGGGGCAACUGGAAUUCUCGGUGUAGCGGUGAAAUGCGUAGAUAUCGAGAGGAACACCUGCGGCGAAGGCGGGUUGCUGGGCUGACACUGACGCUGAAGCGCGAAAGGCUAGGGGAGCGAACG
rnacentral:rRNA from 1 species